GACGUAGGGCGCGAGCGUUGUCCGGAUUUAUUGGGCGUAAAGAGCUCGUAGGCGGCUUGGCAAGUCGGAUGUGAAAACUCCAGGCUCAACCUGGAGCCGCCAUUCGAUACUGCUAUGGCUAGAGUCCGGUAGGGGAGUGUGGAAUUCCCGGUGUAGCGGUGAAAUGCGCAGAUAUCGGGAGGAACACCGGUGGCGAAGGCGGUUCUCUGGGCCGAUACUGACGCUGAGGAGCGAAAGCGUGGGGAGCGAACAGG
rnacentral:rRNA from 1 species